GCUCCAGCCAGCUUCUCCCAGGUGACAGUCAUCCACACCCAGGGUGACUGGCACCCUCACCGAGGUCACCAAGGUCACCUGCACACUCAGCCAUAUGAACAGAAGCUGGGGGCAGCAACCAUUUCCAGGGAAUAUCUGCGAGUAAGAGGAAACAUCUUUUGCCCUGUAGGGGAGAGACUUUGUCCUUGACUGUGGAGACUGUGCCCUUUAUUCAGUCUCGGCCUGCAC
rnacentral:lncRNA from 1 species